UCCCUUGUGGCUCAGCUGGUAAAGAAUCCCGCUUGGAAUGCGGGAGACCUGGGUUCAAUCCCUGGCUUGGGAA
rnacentral:tRNA from 1 species